rnacentral:lncRNA from 1 species
AUGAGUCGUCCCAGAAAACUCUUGAGGAAGGAGCAGAAGAGGAGUGAAACCCCUGAAGAAACAAUAUAGAAAUUGAAGGAGACAGAGGAGAUGGUAAUCAAGAAACAGGAGUUUCUGGAGCAGACAAUUCAACAUGAAUUGUUCAUUAGCAGCAUUGAGAACAGACUUUCAAAGAACCAUGGUUCCAAGAAUAAGAGAGCUGCUCUGCAGGCUUUACAGGGGAAAAAAAGAUGGGAACAGCAGCUGGCACAAACUGAUAGAACAUCAUCCACCCUAGAGUUUCAGCAUGAAGUCAUUGAGAAUGCCACUACCAAUGCAAAAAUGUUUUGUACUUUGUAGUUAGCUGCCUGAGGCAUGGUUAGCUGCCUACCAGGACCUGGACAUUGGCAAGGUAGAUGAACUGAUGGAUGACAUCACAGAAUAGCAGGAGGUGGCCCAGCAGAUCUCAGAUGCCAUUUCUUGACCUGUGGGUUUUGAAGAAGAUGUGGGUGAUCAUGAACUGUUGGAGGAACUAGAGAAGCUGGAGGAGGAAUUGGCCCAAGAAUUGUUAAAUGUGGGGCAACAAGGAGGAAGUGAACCC